AAACCGUGAUUAGGGCAGUCGCUAGUGUACUCCUUGAAACGUUCAAAUGCUUUAAAGAAUGACUUUCUCGCUCCUAGCUUGAAACUCGAGAUUUUAUUCCUCAU
rfam:Arabis alpina cultivar Pajares scaff_40741_1_contig_1, whole genome shotgun sequence.